AUUCCCCUAGUAACGGCGAGUGAAGCGGGAAGAGCUCAAAUUUGAAAUCUGGCAGUCUUCGAUUGUCCGAGUUGUAAUCUAUAGAGGCGUUUUCCGUGCCGGACCGUGUCCAAGUCUCCUGGAAAGGAGUAUCAAAGAGGGUGAUAAUCCCGUACUUAACACGACCACCGGUGCUCUGUGAUACGUCUUCUACGAGUCGAGUUGUUUGGGAAUGCAGCUCAAAAUGGGUGGUGAAUUCCAUCUAAAGCUAAAUAUUGGCGAGAGACCGAUAGCGAACAAGUACCGUGAGGGAAAGAUGAAAAGCACUUUGGAAAGAGAGUUAAACAGUACGUGAAAUUGUUGAAAGGGAAACGAUUGAAGUCAGUCGUGUUCUUUGGAUUCAGCCAGUUCUGCUGGUCUACUUCCUUGGAACGGGUCAACAUCAGUUUUGUCCGGUGGAUAAAGGUAGUAGGAAUGUGACUUCUCCGGAAGUGUUAUAGCCUAUUAUCACAUACACUGGGUGAGACUGAGGACUGCAGCUCGCCUUUAUGGCCGGCCUUCGGGCACGUUCGAGCUUAGGAUGU
rnacentral:rRNA from 1 species